UUACUAAGUCGUAAACAAGGUAGCCGUAGGGGAACCUGCGGCUGGAUCACCUCCUUAAUCGAAGACACCGGCUUCGUCAUAAGCUCCCACACGAAUUGCUUGAUUCACUUGCGAAAGGCGAUUGGGUUUAGACCCGAGAGUAACGAUUGGGUCUGUAGCUCAGUUGGUUAGAGCGCACCCCUGAUAAGGGUGAGGUCGGCAGUUCGAAUCUGCCCAGACCCACCAAUCGAAGGGGCCAUAGCUCAGCUGGGAGAGCGCCUGCUUUGCACGCAGGAGGUCAGCGGUUCGAUCCCGCUUGGCUCCACCAUUAACUCUAGUCGCCGAAAGCUCAGAAAUGAGUGUUUACCAGGAUGAGGUUGAUCGCCUGGGUUGAACAUUGAUUUCUGGACUUUGCGCCAGAACUGUUCUUUAAAAAUUUGGGUAUGUGAUAGAAGUAGACCGAUGUGUUGCUUUCACUGGCUUCAUGUCGCGUCAAGGUAAAAUUUGCAAUGUUCUCUAUGCAAAUUUUCGGCGAAUGUCGUCUUCACGUUAUAGACAGUAACCAGAUUGCUUGGGGUUUAAUAUGGUCGUAA
rnacentral:misc_RNA from 1 species